UUACAGAGUUCUCGCCCUCGCGGGUAGAUCUCCCACCCACUGUGAUUGCUACCGUGUUGCUUUGGCGGGCCGCCGGGCCCAGCCCAGCCGCCGGCCCCGGCCGGCGCGUGCCCGCCAGAAGCCCCGCAAACUCUGAAUGUCAGCGUUGUCUGAGUACUAUAUAAUAGUUAAAACUUUCAACAACGGAUCUCUUGGUUCUGGCAUCGAUGAAGAACGCAGCGAAAUGCGAUAAGUAAUGCGAAUUGCAGAAUUCAGUGAGUCAUCGAAUCUUUGAACGCACAUUGCGCCCUGUGGUAUUCCGCAGGGCAUGCCUGUUCGAGCGUCAUUUCAACCCUCAAGCUCUGCUUGGUGUUGGGCCCUGCCCGCUGCGGCCGGCCCUAAAGACAGUGGCGGUGCCGCCUGGCCCUGAGCGUAGUACAUCUCUCGCUCCAGUGCCUGGCGGUGGCCUGCCAGAACCCCAACUCUCGUGGUUGACCUCGGAUCAGGUAGGGAUACCCGCUGAACUUAAGCAUAUCAAUAAGCGGAGGAAAAGAAACCAACAGGGAUUGCCUCAGUAACGGCGAGUGAAGCGGCAACAGCUCAAAUUUGAAAUCUGGCCCCCUCGGGGUCCGAGUUGUAAUUUGGAGAAGAUGCUUCGGGUGCGGCCCCGGUCUAAGUUCCUUGGAACAGGACGUCACAGAGGGUGAGAAUCCCGUACGUGCCCGGUGGUCGCUCCCGUGUGAAGCUCUUUCGACGAGUCGAGUUGUUUGGGAUGCAGCUCUAAAUGGGUGGUAUAUUUCAUCUAAAGCUAAAUAUUGGCCA
rnacentral:rRNA from 1 species